rnacentral:lncRNA from 1 species
GCUUUUGCUAUUCUGGGUCUUUUAUUUUUCCAGAUGAAUUUCAUGAUUGCUUUUUCUAUUUCUGUGAGGAAUGCCAUUGGGAUUUUGAUUGGUAUUGCAUUAAACCUAUAGAGUACUUUUGGUAAUAUGGCCAUUUUAAUGAUAUUAGUUCUGCCUAUCCAUGAACAAGGUAUAUCUUUCCACCUUCUAAGGUCCUUUUUCUAUUUCUCUCUUUAGGGUUCUGUAGUUUUCGUUGUAUAGUUCUUUCACCUCUUUUGUUAGGUUGAUUCCCAAGUAUUUUAUUUAUUUAUUUAUUUAUUUUUUUGAGGAUAUUGUGAAUGGGGUGGUUGUUCUCAUUACCAUUUCAGAGGAUUUGUCACUGAUAUACAGGAAUGCCUUUGAUUUAUGCGUGUUGAUUUUACAUCCUGCCACUUUGCUGAAUUCGUUUGACCAGCUCUACAAGUUUCUUGGUAGAAUCUUUUGGGUAUAGGAUCAUGUCAUCCGCAAAUAGUGAUAAUUUAAGUUCUUCCUUUCCUAUUUUUAUGCCUUUAAUUUCUUUCGUCUAAUUGCUCUGGCCAGUGUUUUGAGAACUAUGUUGAACAGAAGUGGUGAGAGAGAGCAUCCCUGUCUUGUUCCAGAUUUUAGAGGGAAUGCUUCAAUUUUUCUCUGUUCAGAAUGAUGCUAGCCUGAGGCUUAGCAUAGGUAGCUUUUACAAUGUUGAGGUAUGUUCCUGUUAUCCCUAGUUUUUCUAGUAUUUUGAACAUAAAGGGAUGCUUCACUUUGUCGAAUGCUUUUUCUGCAUCUAUCGAGAUGAUCAUAUGUUUUUUAUCUUUAAGUCUAUUGAUGUGGUGAAUGACAUUUAUUGAUUUUCGUGUAUUGAACCAGCCUUGCAUCCCAGGGAUGAAUCCUACUUGAUCAUGAUGCACAAUCUUUUUGAUAUGUUUCUGUAUCUGAUUUGCCAGAAUUUUAUUGAGGAUUUUUGCAUCUAGGUUCAUUAGAGAUAUUGGUCUGUAGUUUUCUUUCUUUGAAGUGUCUUUGUCUGGUUUAGGAAUCAGGGUGAUGUUGGCCUCGUAGAAUGAAUUUGGAAGUUCUCCCUCUUUUUCUAUUUCCUGAAAUAGCUUGAAAAGUAUUGGUAUUAGUUCUUCUUUAAAGGUUUUGUAAAACUCUGCUGUAUACCCAUCCGGUCCUGGGCUUUUCUUGGUUGGUAGUCUUUUGAUGGCUUCUUCUAUUUCCUCAAUUGAUAUUGGUCUGUUUAGGUUGUGUAUAUCCUCCUGACUCAAUCUGGGCAGAUCAUAUGACUUAAGAAAUUUAUCGAUGCCUUCACUAUCUUCUAUUUUAUUGGAGUAUAAGGUUUCAAAAUAAUUUCUAAUUAUCUUCUGUAUUUCUGUAGUGUCUGUUGUGAUGUUGCCUUUUUC